GCAUUGAUAGUGUAGCGGUUAUCAUCGAGUCUUCCCAUGAAGCUUACAUCAGCAGAUGUUAGUAUACGGGAUUUGGCUUGGACCCGGGUUCGACUCCCGGUCAAUGCA